CGCUGGGUUGUUUUUUCUACCCAAGCGCUGGGUUGCCUCUGUUGGGUCAUUUUUCUGGGUUAUUUACAGAGAGUUGGGUAGUUUUUGUGUAACCCAGCUGCUGGGUUGAAGUUUGAUUGGCUCCUCCCCCAAAGUUCACCGGUGGAUUCAGCGGCUGUCAGUCAGAGCUUCGUGUCUCUCUUCAGCUCCCACACCGCUGAUGACGGUUCAUUUAAGGGGAAAUGACGUUAAAUACAAGGUUCAUACUGAUCAGAAAGUUGAAUCAUCUCCAACCAACUCCAUGAGUGACUUCGCACUCAAGGAACUUGAGGAUGAUUGCAUCAUCUUUUUCUUGGUACUAAUUAAGUGCAGAAAAACAAAAGCAGGCGCCGGUGAUGAGGGCGAUGAAGAGGGACAGCACCAUGUAGAUGAAGAGUGAGAUGAAGGUGUAGAGGUAGAGCUGACUGAAGAGCCACACCAAUGUGCUGCUGCGCUCCACCUCCGAGAAGGUCACGAACAUG